UACAGAGGGGGCAAGCGUUGUUCGGAAUUACUGGGCGUAAAGGGCGCGUAGGCGGCCCACUAAGUCGAACGUGAAAUCCCCGGGCUCAACCCGGGAACUGCGUCCGAUACUGGUGGGCUUGAAUCCGGGAGAGGUGAGUGGAACUGCGAGUGUAGAGGUGAAAUUCGUAGAUAUUCGCAAGAACACCAGUGGCGAAGGCGGCUCACUGGCCCGGUACUGACGCUGAGGUGCGAAAGCGUGGGGAGCAAACAGG
rnacentral:rRNA from 1 species